rnacentral:rRNA from 1 species
CCUACGGGAGGCAGCAGUAGGGAAUAUUGCUCAAUGGGGGAAACCCUGAAGCAGCAACGCCGCGUGGAGGAUGAAGGUUUUCGGAUUAUAAACUCCUUUUGUUAGAGAAGAUAAUGACGGUAUCUAACGAAUAAUCACCGGCUAACUCCGUGCCAGCAGCCGCGGUAAUACGGAGGGUGCAAGCGUUACUCGGAAUCACUGGGCGUAAAGAGCGCGUAGGCGGGUUAGCAAGUCAGAUGUGAAAUCUUAUGGCUUAACCAUAGAACUGCAUUUGAAACUGUUAUUCGUGAGUAUGGGAGAGGUAGGUGGAAUUCGUGGUGUAGGGGUAAAAUCCGUAGAGAUCAAGAGGAACACCGGUGGCGAAGGCGGCCUGCUGGACGAUGACUGACGCUGAGGCUCGAAAGCGUGGGGAGCAAACAGGAUUAGAUACCCCAGUAGUC